UACGUAGGGGGCAAGCGUUGUCCGGAUUUAUUGGGCGUAAAGAGCUCGUAGGCGGUUCCGUAAGUCGAGUGUGAAAAAUCUGGGCUCAACCCAGUGGAGCACUCGAUACUGCGGUGACUAGAGUACGGUAGAGGAGUGUGGAAUUCCUGGUGUAGCGGUGAAAUGCGCAGAUAUCAGGAGGAACACCAACGGCGAAGGCAGCACUCUGGGCCGGUACUGACGCUGAGGCGCGAAAGCUAGGGGAGCAAACGGG
rnacentral:rRNA from 1 species